rnacentral:rRNA from 1 species
GGCGAACGCUGGCGGCGUGCUUAACACAUGCAAGUCGAACGGAAAGGCCCUGCUUUUGUGGGGUGCUCGAGUGGCGAACGGGUGAGUAACACGUGAGUAACCUGCCCUUGACUUUGGGAUAACUUCAGGAAACUGGGGCUAAUACCGGAUAGGAGCCCCUGCUGCAUGGUGGGGGUUGGAAAGUUUCGGCGGUUGGGGAUGGACUCGCGGCUUAUCAGCUUGUUGGUGGGGUAGUGGCUUACCAAGGCUUUGACGGGUAGCCGGCCUGAGAGGGUGACCGGCCACAUUGGGACUGCGAUACGGCCCAGACUCCAACGGGAGGCAGCAGUGGGGAAUAUUGCACAAUGGGCGGAAGCCUGAUGCAGCAACGCCGCGUGCGGGAUGACGGCCUUCGGGUUGUAAACCGCUUUCGCCUGUGACGAAGCGUGAGUGACGGUAAUGAGUCAAGAAGCACCGGCUAACUACGUG